CGAGGAUCUUCGGCAAUGGGCGCAAGCCUGACCGAGCGACGCCGCGUGGGCGAUGAAGGCCUUCGGGUUGUAAAGCCCUGUCGAGGGGGAGGAAGGCGCAAGCUUGACCUAUCCCUGGAGGAAGCACGGGCUAAGUUCGUGCCAGCGGCCGCGGUAAGACGAACCGUGCGAACGUUAUUCGGAAUCACUGGGCUUAAAGGGCGCGUAGGCGGGCUCGCCAGUCAGGGGUGAAAGCCCACGGCUCAACCGUGGAAGUGCCUUUGAUACUGCGAGUCUCGAGGGAGGUAGGGGCGUGCGGAACUUCCGGUGGAGCGGUGAAAUGCGUAGAUAUCGGAAGGAACAUCGGUGGCGAAAGCGGCGCGCUGGAUCUCUUCUGACGCUGAGGCGCGAAAGCCAGGGGAGCAAACGGGAUUAGAUACCCCCGUAGUCC
rnacentral:rRNA from 1 species